GACAGAGGUCCCGAGCGUUAGGCGGAAUCACUGGGCUUAAAGCGUGUGUAGGCGGAUUUGUAAGUACCUUGUGAAAUCCCCACGGGCUUAACCGUGGAAACUGCUUGGUAUACUGCUUAUCUUGAGCCACUUAGGGGCAACCGGAACAAACGGUGGAGCGUGAAAUGCGUAGAUAGUCGUUGGAACGCCAAUGGUGAAAACAGGUUGUCUGGGAGUGUGCUGACGCUGAGACACGAAAGCCAGGGAGCGAACGGG
rnacentral:rRNA from 1 species